CCACCGAAAGGUGGUCUAAUACUUCAUAUUAUCCAUCUCGUAUGGAUUAAAGCUUUAUGCGCUUGGGAGGGGCCUGCGUAACAUUAGCUUGUUGGUGAGGUAAAAGCUCACCAAGGCUUCGAUGUUUAACUGGUUUGAGAGGAUGACCAGUCACACUGGACUGAGAUACGGCCCAGACUCCUACGGGAGGCAGCAGUAAGGAAUCUUCCACAAUGGGGCAACCCUGAUGGAGCAAUACCGCGUGCAGGAUGAAGCGUUUCGGCGUGUAAACUGCUUUUAUCACCGAAGAUUAUGACUGUAGGUGAAGAAUAAGGACCGGCUAACUACGUG
rnacentral:rRNA from 1 species